AUCAACAGACCAUAAAUUGCAGAUACCACACAAUUUUUUAUUUAUUGAAUUUAUAAGGUUCUAAGAAAAUAAGCUUUUACAUAAAUAAAGAAGCAUAAAAAUAAUUUAUAAAGAAUCUUAAGUUGGGUAAAGAAAAAUAAUAAAAAUAAUGUUAUUUGGUCUCUGCAAUUUCUGAUUCAAUCCUAUUUUUAUGAACACUUUAUUUGUGGAUCACAGCUGCGUUUCGUGUGGCGACUUUAAAAAAAAACUUUUUACAUUCUAAUAACACUAUUGUUACUGUUACAUUUUUUUAUCACGACAAAAUCCUGGAAACAUUGCUAAGAAAAUGUACGUUAACUUUAAAAUAGUUGCGGAAAAAAAAAUCAGUUCGAUUUCUAUUCAUAUUAAAAAGGUAUAUUUCGAUACUCAUUAAUUAAAAAAUAUAUAUAAAUCACGAUGGCAGAACGUAUCCAUCACUUCACAUUGAAAGAAACGAUAUUCGUAAUAACAAAGAAAAAAAUACAGAAUGGAACAAGAAUUAAACAAAAAUAUUAAAAAAAAAUUUAGUCGGAAAUUUUAACAAUCUUAAGAAUAAUUUCGGUUUAUCAACAGUAAAAUCACAGACUUUUUUUAAACAGUAAUGCCCACCUUUAUAAAUAUUAAAGCUUUUUAUUCUAUUGUGUGCAAUAAGCAUGUUUAUUACUAUAGACUUACAUAAUAUAUAAAAAAAAAGAUUAUUCGACAAUUUAUUUAUUACCUAUUAAAUGUGUUUUUGAACGAACAAUUUAUUGCUUUUUUUUUCUCACCAUUUUGACAUUUGCUUGUACCUACUACGUAUAAAAAUGAU